rnacentral:rRNA from 1 species
UGGGGAAUCUUCCGCAAUGGACGAAAGUCUGACGGAGCAACGCCGCGUGAGUGAAGAAGGUUUUCGGAUCGUAAAACUCUGUCUUUUGGGGCGAACGUGAGUAUGGUGAACAAUCAUAGUCAGUGACGGUACCAAAGGAGGAAGCCACGGCUAACUACGUGCCAGCAGCCGCGGUAAUACGUAGGUGGCAAGCGUUGUCCGGAAUUAUUGGGCGUAAAGAGCGCGUAGGCGGGAUAGUCAGUCUGUUGUAAAGUGCGGGGCUCAACCCCGUGAUGGCAAUGGAAACAGCUAUUCUUGAGUGCAGGAGAGGAAAGUGGAAUUCCCAGUGUAGCGGUGAAAUGCGUAGAUAUUGGGAGGAACACCAGUGGCGAAGGCGACUUUCUGGACUGUGUCUGACGCUGAGGCGCGAAAGCCAGGGGAGCGAACGGGAUUAGAUACCCCGGUAGUCCUGGCCGUAAAACGAUGGGUACUAGGUGUGGGAGGUAUCGACCCCCUUCCGUGCCGGAGUUAACGCAAUAAGUACCCCGCCUGGGGAGUACGGUCGCAAGACUG